rnacentral:sRNA from 1 species
GCUGGGUGUGGUGGCGCACACCUAUAAUCCCAGCUACUUGGGAGGCAGAGGCAGGAGAAUCGCUGGAACCCAGGAGGCAGAGAUUGCAGUGAGCCAAGAUUGCAUCACUGCACUCCAGCCUGGGCUACAGAGCGAGACUUUGUCUUUA